CAGCUUUUCUACUUUACAUCGACUUGGUAAUCAUGUUGGUGUUCAUCCUGGUUUCCAUUUUUCACCUAGAUAUGGGCACACGGAUGUGCUAGUUUACACUGGCAUCCGCUCAUUAAUGGGCUCUCUCUCGGUGAUGAGUGUGAAAGCCCGUGGGACUUUUUUGAAGUUGACUUUUGAGGGGAAGAAUCAGUUGAUCUAUUCCGGAGACUUGGUUCUUUAUGUUGGUGGUGGCUACAUGUGUAGUUACCCAAAUGAAUUAUCUCAACAAGGUCUGUCCCAAGAUGUUAUCCAACUUUGAUUAGCUAACUUGCUUAAUGCUGAAUUUGUAAAUUUCAUUUGUCAUUGCCUCACAACAAUCGAUAAUAUUGAAUGACACCAAAUUUCCUCUUUUACAAUAACUUUUACUUUUCCCAUAUGUUGAGAUUACAUAAUAUUGGGAGAAAAGGAAGUCAUUGAAUAUAUGCAUCUUUCUUAA